GUGCUUGAUUUGGCAGCACAUAUAUUAAAAUUGAGACAAUGCAGAGAAGAUUAACAUGGAUCCUGUGCAGGGGUGACAUGCAAAUUCAUGAAAUGUUCCAUAUUUUC